rnacentral:rRNA from 1 species
CACGUAGGCGGCCUGGUAAGUCAGAUGUGAAAGCCCGGGGCUUAACCCCGGAAGUGCAUUUGAUACUGUCAGGCUUGAGUAUGGGAGAGGGAAGUGGAAUUCCUGGUGUAGAGGUGAAAUUCGUAGAUAUCAAGAGGAACACCGGUGGCGAAGGCGACUUCCUGGACCAAUACUGACGCUGAGGUGCGAAGGCGUGGGUAGCAAACA